rnacentral:rRNA from 1 species
AGUGAACGCUGGCGGUAGGCCUAACACAUGCAAGUCGAACGGCAGCACAGUAAGAGCUUGCUCUUACGGGUGGCGAGUGGCGGACGGGUGAGGUAUACAUCGGACUCUACUUUUUCGUGGGGGAUAACGUAGGGAAACUUACGCUAAUACCGCAUACGACCUACGGGUGAAAGCAGGGGAUCUUCGGACCUUGCGCGAUUGAAUGAGCCGAUGUCGGAUUAUCUAGUUGGCGGGGUAAAGGCCCACCAAGGCGACGAUCCGUAGCUGGUCUGAGAGGAGGAGCCGGCCUACGGGAGCUGCGAGCCGCACCGGACCCCUGCGGCAGGCAGCAGUCGUGAGUAUUGGAGAAGGGGGGAAUGCUGGAUCCAGCAAUGCCGCCUGAGUGAGGAAGGCCUUCUGGUUGUUAAGCCCUUUUGUUGGGUAAGCAGAGCAGAAGGUUAAUACCGCGCUGUUGUGACGGUACCAGAAGAAGAAGCACCGGCUAACUUCGUG